rnacentral:rRNA from 1 species
AUUGAACGCUGGCGGAAUGCUUUACACAUGCAAGUCGAGCGGCAGCGCGGGGGCAACCCUGGCGGCGAGCGGCGAACGGGUGAGUAAUACAUCGGAACGUGUCCUUAAGUGGGGGAUAGCUCGGCGAAAGCCGGAUUAAUACCGCAUAAGCUCUGAGGAGGAAAGCGGGGGCUCCGUAAGGACCUCGCGCUGUUGGAGCGGCCGAUGUCGGAUUAGCUAGUUGGUGGGGUAAAGGCCCACCAAGGCGACGAUCCGUAGCUGGUCUGAGAGGAUGAUCAGCCACACUGGAACUGAGACACGGUCCAGACUCCUACGGGAGGCAGCAGUGGGGAAUUUUGGACAAUGGGGGCAACCCUGAUCCAGCCAUUCCGCGUGAGUGAAGAAGGCCUGG